rnacentral:rRNA from 1 species
CUAGCCUAGGGACGCAGCAGUGAGGAAUAUUGGUCAAUGGCCGGAAGGCUGAACCAGCCGAGUCGCGUGAGGGACGACUGCCCUAUGGGUUGUAAACCUCUUUUAUAAGGGAAGAAUAAAUGCUACGUGUAGCAUGAUGCCUGUACCUUAUGAGUAAGCAUCGGCUAACUCCGUGCCAGCAGCCGCGGUAAUACGGAGGAUGCGAGCGUUAUCCGGAUUUAUUGGGUUUAAAGGGUGCGUAGGCGGUUUUUUAAGUUAGUGGUUAAACGUCGGGGCUUCACCUUGAUUUGCCAUUAAUACUGUAA